UAGAUUUGAUGUUCAACUCAAAGACC
rnacentral:piRNA from 1 species